rnacentral:rRNA from 1 species
UACAGAGGGUGCGAGCGUUGUCCGGAAUCACUGGGCGUAAAGGGCGCGUAGGUGGUGGCUUAAGCGUGCGGUGAAAGCUCGGGGCUCAACUCCGAGUCGGCCGUGCGAACUGGGCUCACUGGAGCAUAGUAGAGGCAGGUGGAAUUCCGGGUGUAGCGGCGGAAUGCGUAGAGAUCCGGAAGAACACCAGUGGCGAAGGCGGCCCACUGGACGUGUAUUGACGCUGAGGUGCGAAAGCGUGGGGAGCAAACAGG